GUGGUGUUCCGGGAAGCACUCUCUCUGUGUCUGUUUCACUCCCCAUCCUGUGUCUGUCCAUUUGUCUUCCUCUGAGCUGAGGGUGGGAGGACCCUUACCUAGUCCAUCUGUACCAAGAAGUCAAGAGGUGGAUUCUCAAGGGAAAUCAGGACACUGUGACCCAAAGCAGAUGAUCUCGGGAUGGGCUGAGAAAACUAGCAGGUUUCUGGCAUCGACUUGGCUGCAGGGAAGCCAGACAGGUGUUUAUGAAAAAAAAUGCACAAUAUCCCGACUGACCGGAAUAAUUGAUGAAGAAGGGUGCUGGAUCCGUGGGUCAGAGAACACACAGGACCAGCUUGCCACCCCAAGGCCGAAGUCUGGUGUCUCGGAUUUGGCUCUUCGUUGCCCACUCCUGCUGCAUCUUGUCCAGCCGAGGGACAAAACACCCUGCCACUUCUCUGAAGAACAGGAAGAAAAGAAGUCAUGGAGGCAGAUUCCAGCACAGCCAGAGACUGAGAUGUUGAGCUCAGAGGGAGCAGGGAUCACCAAGGCACAUGCUGCCUGAAGCCCCAGGAAAGCUGGACAAGAGGCACAUUGGCCCAAGUGGUACAAGUACUAACAGUGACAUGCCAUGGACAUAGUACAGGCUGCCCAUCCAAGACCCACCAAAUGGAGGAUAGCACAGCAGAGUCUUUCUCACUUUGUAAAACCUGGCACAAGGACAGAGAAGCCGGAGCAGCAGCGUGUAUCCCAGAACUGCUAGAAAAAGCCAGAGAGGAUGACAUAUUGACUUGUGAUCAAUUGCACCAAUAGGUACUGUGAGAAGAGGCCUCACCUCCUUCAAUCCCAUUGCAUCUGGAUGCCAUUCUUCACUGUAAGCCUGAAGUCCUGCCUCAGCUGCCAACAUCCUGCUUAACAUUGCUUAUGAGGAAGUGCCCAUUUUCUCCUCCAUAUUCUGGAUUCACUCGUUAUGCAUAGCACUGGGUCAAUUUAGAUAGAAGCACCCUGAGACAUUCCUACUUCUCAGAAGCUGCCAAAUGUAUGUCACACCUGUGUCGCGUAUAACCUGGGGUCCACUUCUGACAGAUGCUGCCUCCUUGAUCAGUGAUUCUUUCCCUCAGCAAUGUGGUACCAUUCUCCCCUGCCUCAUGCAUCCCAGUUGUGACUUUGUCAGCUCCUGGUGUUUGGAUUGCAUGAAGAUGGAGAAGGAAUGGUUGGAGGAAAAACCUUAGUCUGCUUGGAGGCUGGAGCCUGGCUCCAACCUAGGCAGAAGGUCCCCAACCCCCAGCUCAUGUUCUGCCUUGUCCUCUUCCCACGACUUAGUCUUACCUUUUAUGUCUGUCCUAUCCAGGACAGUUGUACUUUAGUUUUUUCAAUUAAACAAAAUU
rnacentral:lncRNA from 1 species